rnacentral:rRNA from 1 species
AAUGAACGCUGGCGGCAUGCCUAACACAUGCGAGUCGAACGAGACCUUCGGGUCUAGUGGCGCACGGGUGCGUAACGCGUGGGAACCUGCCCUUAGGUUCGGAAUAACUCCCCGAAAGGGGUGCUAAUACCGGAUAAUGUCUUCGGACCAAAGAUUUAUCGCCUUUGGAUGGGCCCGCGUUGGAUUAGCUAGUUGGUAGGGUAAAAGCCUACCAAGGCGACGAUCCAUAGCUGGUCUGAGAGGAUGAUCAGCCACACUGGGACUGAGACACGGCCCAGACUCCUACGGGAGGCAGCAGUGGGGAAUAUUGGACAAUGGGCGAAAGCCUGAUCCAGCAAUGCCGCGUGAGUGAUGAAGGCCUUAGGGUUGUAAAGCUCUUUUACCCGGGAUGAUAAUGACAGUACCGGGAGAAUAAGCUCCGGCUAACUCCGUG